AUGUGCUCGCUUUUUUUUCAGGUCACACCCUCUACCCAUUGGGCAUUUGAGCACAGAGUUACAGUGCACAUUCUCUUGGCAAGCCUCCAAUUGCGCUUUCUGGAACUUCUCUUUCCAACCAUUCAUACAGGCUUUUCCAGAUCACAGAUGAAAACCUCUUACUUCCUUUGUCACUCCCAUAGACUAAAGCUCCUUCUUUGUGAAGAUGACUCAAGGAGGGAGAGAAGAGGAGAAGCCACAGCCCAUCAACGUCUCUGGGCAUCACACCCCACUUGGCUGGGCUGUACGAGAAACUUACUGACAAAGAGGAUAUUUCAAUAGAAUCCUGAGAAAUAUUCAGGGCAAGAUUCCAAACUCCACGCACGGUUGGGCUUUUAAAAACACUGCUUAUUGGUGAUGAUUCUUAAGCACAGUGCCUCUGACUUUCCGUCUUUGUUCUGAUCUUCCAGGAAAUUAGAGGACAGACAGACAGACACACACACACACAACACACACACACACACACACUCCUUCAUUCUUCAGUGUAGGCAUAUAUCUGGAUUGGGCAAAGACUUCUUACCCUUACUUUAAGGGAAUCACAGUACAUAAUUAAUGCAAGUGAUUCUUUCACAGAAAUUCUAUGAGGUUCUUGGCACCUAGCCCUUGAACAAUACUUCCUGUCCACUAAUUUCCUUCUUCACUGCCUCUAGACCUGGCUUUACCAGUCUUGUGUAUUUGUCUUGAACUGCUGGGUCCCGCCAUACCUUGCUUUAAGCCCAGUAACCCUGUAAUUCCUAUAAAAAGUUUGGCAGUCAUGCCCCACUUCUCAGCAAGACUUAAUAACAGUGAUCUUCAGGAAGGUCUCAUAAUACUAGGUCAUCAUUAUUUGUAUAAUAUAUGCUAUUAAGAAUUAUCACAAAUAAUGGAAACUAAACUGCACUUGUAAAAAUAAAGAAACAAAGUACACGCUGUGGUGUGGCUGU
rnacentral:lncRNA from 1 species